GAUGAACGCUGGCGGCGUGUCUAAUACAUGCAAGUCGAGCGAACAGACGAGGAGCUUGCUCCUCUGACGUUAGCGGCGGACGGGUGAGUAACACGUGGAUAACCUACCUAUAAGACUGGGAUAACUUCGGGAAACCGGAGCUAAUACCGGAUAAUAUAUUGAACCGCAUGGUUCAAUAGUGAAAGACGGUUUUGCUGUCACUUAUAGAUGGAUCCGCGCCGCAUUAGCUAGUUGGUAAGGUAACGGCUUACCAAGGCAACGAUGCGUAGCCGACCUGAGAGGGUGAUCGGCCACACUGGAACUGAGACGCGGUCCAGACUCCUACGGGAGGCAGCAGUAGGGAAUCUUCCGCAAUGGGCGAAAGCUUGACGGAGCAACGCCGCGUGAGUGAUGAAGGUCUUCGGAUCGUAAAACUCUGUUAUUAGGGAAGAACAAAUGUGUAAGUAACUAUGCACGUCUUGACGGUACCUAAUCAGAAAGCCACGGCUAACUACGUG
rnacentral:rRNA from 1 species